rnacentral:tRNA from 1 species
GGGGAUAUAGCUCAGUGGUAGAGCACUUGCCUAGCAUGCCCAAGGCCCACAGCUCUAUCCCCA